rnacentral:rRNA from 1 species
AUUGAACGCUGGCGGCAUGCUUUACACAUGCAAGUCGAACGGUAACAGGCCUUCGGGUGCUGACGAGUGGCGAACGGGUGAGUAAUGCAUCGGAACGUACCCAGAGGUGGGGGAUAACGCAGCGAAAGCUGUGCUAAUACCGCAUGUGAUCUGAGGAUGAAAGCGGGGGACCGAGCAGCAAUGUUUGGCCUCGCGCCUUUGGAGCGGCCGAUGUCGGAUUAGCUAGUUGGUGGGGUAAAGGCCUACCAAGGCGACGAUCCGUAGCUGGUCUGAGAGGACGAACAGCAACACUGGGACUGAGACACGGCCCAGACACAUACGGGAGGCAGCAGUGGGGAAUUUUGGACAAUGGGCGCAAGCCUGAUCCAGCAAUGCCGCGUGCGGGAAGAAGGCCUUCGGGUUGUAAACCGCUUUGGGAAGGAACGAAACGGUGUCCGCUAAUACCGGGCGCUAAUGACGGUACCUGCAGAAUAAGAACCGGCUAACUACGUG